AUUGAACGCUGGCGGCAGGCUUAACACAUGCAAGUCGAACGAGCGGCGGACGGGUGAGUAAUGUCUGGGAAACUGCCUGAUGGAGGGGGAUAACUACUGGAAACGGUAGCUAAUACCGCAUACCAUCGGAUGUGCCCACAGGGGAUUAGCUAGUUGGUGGGGUAAAGGCUCACCGAGGCGACGAUCCCUAGCUGGUCUGAGAGGAUGACCAGCCACACUGGAACUGAGACACGGUCCAGACUCCUACGUGAGGCAGCAGUGGGGAAUAUUGCACAAUGGGCGCAAGCCUGAUGCAGCAAUGCCGCGUGUAUGAAGAAGGCCUUCGGGUUGUAAAGUACUUUCAGCGGGGAGGCGUUACCCGCAGAAGAAGCACCGGCUAACUCCGUGCCAGCAGCCGCGGUAAUAC
rnacentral:rRNA from 1 species